AAUUGCUAGUAAUCGUAGGUCAGCAUACUACGGUGAAUACGUUCCCGGGCCUUGUACACACCGCCCGUCAAACCAUGAGAGUUGGCAACACCCGAAGUCGGUAGUCUAACCGCAAGGAGGACGCCGCCGAAGGUGGGGUUNAUGAUUAGGGUUAAGUCGUAACAAGGUACC
rnacentral:rRNA from 1 species